rnacentral:rRNA from 1 species
UACGAAGGGGUCUAGCGUUGUUCGGAAUUACUGGGCGUAAAGCGCACGCAGGCGGCUCGAUAAAUUAGAAGUGAAAGCCCCGGGCUUAACCUGGGAAUUGCUUUUAAGACUGUCGGGCUAGAAUCCAGAAGAGGGUAGUGGAAUUCCGAGUGUAGAGGUGAAAUUCGUAGAUAUUCGGAAGAACACCAGUGGCGAAGGCGACUACCUGGUCUGGCAUUGACGCUCAUGUGCGAAAGCGUGGGGAGCAAACAGG